AAGACUUUAAGUUAAUGAAACUAUUAGCCUUCAAAGUUAAAAAUAUGAGUAUUUUGUAAGUUUUA
rnacentral:tRNA from 1 species